AAAUUGAAGAGUUUGAUCAUGGCUCAGAUUGAACGCUGGCGGCAGGCCUAACACAUGCAAGUCGAGCGGAAACGACACUAACAAUCCUUCGGGUGCGUUAAUGGGCGUCGAGCGGCGGACGGGUGAGUAAUGCCUAGGAAAUUGCCUUGAUGUGGGGGAUAACCAUUGGAAACGAUGG
rnacentral:rRNA from 1 species